UACGUAGGGCGCAAGCGUUGUCCGGAAUCAUUGGGCGUAAAGAGCUCGUAGGCGGCCUGUUGCGUCCGCUGUGAAAUCCCGGGGCUUAACCCCGGGCGUGCAGUGGAUACGGGCUGGCUGGAGGCAGGCAGGGGAGAACGGAAUUCCCGGUGUAGCGGUGAAAUGCGCAGAUAUCGGGAGGAACACCGGUGGCGAAGGCGGGUCUCUGGGCCGAUACUGACGCUGAGGCGCGACAGCGUGGGGAGCAAACAGG
rnacentral:rRNA from 1 species